UUUUACCUUCAUAUCAUCAUAGAGACUACAGGUGAGCAGGGCUGGUGUUUUGCCUUCAUAUCAUCAUAGAGACUACAGGUGAGCAGGGCUGGUGUUUUGCCUUCAUAUCAUCAUAGAGACUACAGGUGAGCAGGGCUGGUGUUUUGCCUUCAUAUCAUCAUAGAGACUACAGGUGAGCAGGGCUGGUGUUUUACCUUCAUAUCAUCAUAGAGACUACAGGUGAGCAGGGCUGGUGUUUUGCCUUCAUAUCAUAGAUACUACAGGUGAGCAGGGCUGGUGUUUUGCCUUCAUAUCAUCAUAGAGACUACAGGUGAGCAGGGCUGGUGUUUUACCUUCAUAUCAUCAUAGAGACUACAGGUGAGCAGGGCUGGUGUUUUGCCUUCAUAUCAUCAUAGAGACUACAGGUGAGCAGGGCUGGUGUUUUGCCUUCAUAUCAUCAUAGAGACUACAGGUGAGCAGGGCUGGUGUUUUACCUUCAUAUCAUCAUAGAGACUACAGGUGAGCAGGGCUGGUGUUUUACCUUCAUAUCAUCAUAGAGACUACAGGUGAGCAGGGCUGGUGUUUUACCUUCAUAUCAUAGAUACUACAGGUGAGCAGGGCUGGUGUUUUACCUUCAUAUCAUCAUAGAGACUACAGGUGAGCAGGGCUGGUGUUUUACCUUCAUAUCAUCAUAGAGACUACAGGUGAGCAGGGCUGGUGUUUUACCUUCAUAUCAUCAUAGAGACUACAGGUGAGCAGGGCUGGUGUUUUACCUUCAUAUCAUAGAUACUACAGGUGAGCAGGGCUGGUGUUUUACCUUCAUAUCAUCAUAGAGACUACAGGUGAGCAGGGCUGGUGUUUUACCUUCAUAUCAUCAUAGAGACUACAGGUGAGCAGGGCUGGUGUUUUACCUUCAUAUCAUCAUAGAGACUACAGGUGAGCAGGGCUGGUGUUUUACCUUCAUAUCAUCAUAGAGACUACAGGUGAGCAGGGCUGGUGUUUUACCUUCAUAUCAUCAUAGAGACUACAGGUGAGCAGGGCUGGUGUUUUACCUUCAUAUCAUCAUAGAGACUACAGGUGAGCAGGGCUGGUGUUUUACCUUCAUAUCAUCAUAGAGACUACAGGUGAGCAGGGCUGGUGUUUUGCCUUCAUAUCAUCAUAGAGACUACAGGUGCGCAGGGCUGGUGUUUUACCUUCAUAUCAUCAUAGAGACUACAGGUGAGCAGGGCUGGUGUUUUACCUUCAUAUCAUCAUAGAGACUACAGGUGAGCAGGGCUGGUGUUUUGCCUUCAUAUCAUCAUAGAGACUACAGGUGAGCAGGGCUGGUGUUUUACCUUCAUAUCAUAGAUACUACAGGUGAGCAGGGCUGGUGUUUUACCUUCAUAUCAUCAUAGAGACUACAGGUGAGCAGGGCUGGUGUUUUACCUUCAUAU